rnacentral:rRNA from 1 species
AGAGUUUGAUCAUGGCUCAGGAUGAACGCUAGCGGCAGGCCUAAUACAUGCAAGCCGAACGGCAAGUCUGAUAGCAAUAUUAGACCUAGAGUGGCGUAAGAGUGCGUAACACGUAUGCAAUCUGCCCGCAACAGGAGGAUAGCUCCCCGAAAGGGGAAUUAACCCUCCAUAGGAUCACACGAAGGCAUCUGAGAGUGAUUAAACCAAAAGGGGUUGCGGAUGAGCAUGCGGUUGAUUAGCUAGUUGGCGGGGUAACGGCCCACCAAGGCGAUGAUCAAUAGGGGAACUGGGAGGUUUAUCCCCCACACUGGCACUGAGAUACGGGCCAGACUCCUACGGGAGGCAGCAGUAGGGAAUAUUGGACAAUGGGCGAGAGCCUGAUCCAGCCAUGCCGCGUGCAGGAAGAAGGCCUUCUGGGUUGUAAACUGCUUUUGCCAGGGGAUAAAAGACCCGUGCGCGGGGAAUUGAAGGUACCUGGUGAAUAAGCCACGGCUAACUACGUGCCAGCAGCCGCGGUAAUACGUAGGUGGCAAGCGUUGUCCGGAUUUAUUGGGUUUAAAGGGUGCGUAGGCGGUUCUAUAAGUCAGUGGUGAAAUACGGCAGCUCAACUGUCGAGGUGCCAUUGAUACUGCAGAACUUGAGUACAGACGAGGUAGGCGGAAUUGACGGUGUAGCGGUGAAAUGCUUAGAUAUCGUCAAGAACACCGAUAGCGAAGGCAGCUUACUAGACUGUAACUGACGCUGAGGCACGAAAGUGUGGGGAUCAAACAGGAUUAGAUACCCUAGUAGUCC